rnacentral:rRNA from 1 species
UACGUAGGGGGCGAGCGUUGUCCGGAGUUACUGGGCGUAAAGGGCGCGCAGGCGGUCUGGCAAGUUUGGAGUGACAGUGCUCGGCUUAACUGAGCAAGGCCUUCGAAAACUGCUAGACUUGAGCACUCAAGAGGGACAUAGAAUUCCGGGUGGAGUGGUGAAAUGCGUAGAUAUCCGGAGGAAUACCAAAGGCGAAGGCAGUGUCCUGGGGAGUGUCUGACGCUCAGGCGCGAAAGCUAGGGGAGCGAACGGG